UCUGCUUUUUGUUGUUUUCUUCUUCAUAACUUUCUUGCCACUUGCUAUUUUUUGGUUUGAAUUUCAGCUAAUCCUGCCAAGUUCACAUGAUUAACGUACUUUGUGGUCUUGGAAGAUUGAAUUUACAACUAAAAGCAUCAACUGCAGUUCUGCUAUACUAAGCUAUUGUAAUAUCCAGUGGAAGACACAUCAUUUCACUUGCUAUAGCAUCAGUACACUUGCUGUUGCCUAUUUGGCUCUUCUUUGCCUGUAGUAUUCCAGACUUUUUCCUUUAUUUAUUUCCUUGUUGAUUUUCUUCAGAAAGAUCACAAUUGCUUCCAUUUCUCAGCAGCAGAGAGAUUGAACUGGAAUAGAUGUUUGUACUUAGAAAGUAAAUUAACUUAAAGAAAGUGAAGGGAAGAGUAAAUACCAGUGCAGAAUUGGCUGUGGAUGACUGCCUGUUUAAACACGGUUUCCAAGGAUUUUGUCAAUUCCAUAGGUGUGCAAACCAGGAUGUUAUCUGAGGGCAUCUCAGAGAUGAUCAUAUAAAGUAUCAAAUGUGAAGCAAGAAGGAAAUAAACCCUCCUAACUAAAGCUAAAAAGAGCUGUUAUGGAGCUAUUUUGUAAGUAUGUAAUAAGCCUUAUUGUUCUUGUAAAAAUAAAGUGAAAACCAAUUGGAAAUAAAAUAUAAAGACAAGUUUAAACCAGAAAAAUAAAUCUGUUAUUAAAUCUCAGAAUUAUAGUUU